UGGGGAAUUUUGGACAAUGGGCGAAAGCCUGAUCCAGCAAUGCCGCGUGUGUGAAGAAGGCCUUCGGGUUGUAAAGCACUUUUGUCCGGAAAGAAAUCCUUGGCUCUAAUACAGUCGGGGGAUGACGGUACCGGAAGAAUAAGCACCGGCUAACUACGUGCCAGCAGCCGCGGUAAUACGUAGGGUGCAAGCGUUAAUCGGAAUUACUGGGCGUAAAGCGUGCGCAGGCGGUUUGCUAAGACCGAUGUGAAAUCCCCGGGCUCAACCUGGGAACUGCAUUGGUGACUGGCAGGCUAGAGUAUGGCAGAGGGGGGUAGAAUUCCAUGUGUAGCAGUGAAAUGCGUAGAGAUGUGGAGGAAUACCGAUGGCGAAGGCAGCCCCCUGGGCCAAUACUGACGCUCAUGCACGAAAGCGUGGGGAGCAAACAGGAUUAGAUACCCUGGUAGUCCACGCCCUAAACGAUGUCAACUAGUUGUUGGGGAUUCAUUUCCUUAGUAACGUAGCUAACGCGUGAAGUUGACCGCCUGGGGAGUACGGUCGCAAGAUUAAAACUCAAAGGAAUUGACGGGGUCAUAGCUGUUUCCU
rnacentral:rRNA from 1 species